CUUUAGUGACAAAACAGCUUUUGGAAUAUUAGUUUUCAGACUUGUGAGGUCACAUUUUUUCUAUGAAUGACUGACAGCUCUGUGUGAAACCCUAGCUGAAACUUUUGUCUCCUUUCUCGUUACCCAAUUCACCGGCGAGAGAGGCGUGAUACAUACAACGAAUGGGCGGGCGAUAUGUCAGUAAGCUAUGGAGGCCGUACACACUGAGGGAGGAUAUCUAUGCAGAUGAGCUAACGAGAAGAGCAAGGGCGGUGCAUAGACUGCAGACUACACGGCUUUUCCCCCUGCAUAGCUAUAUAAUCAGGCCAGGCUAAGCCGGCAUGCACUCGGAUCUUUUGUCUUGGUAAAGGUAAGUUAAUAAAGCCCAGAAUGGGCUAAUAAUAGACAUAAUGCAUAGGGGGGAUGGCUCAGCACACAGCAGCCUGGGCUCUUUAAAUCAUGUAGACCGACCAGAUGCAUUGGGAAGGUUGGAGGGAUUGUGGAAGUCGUGACAUGUAGGGUAUAAGAAGAACCAGGAAUGUAGCUCAGUUUUGCAAAAUAGCCAGGAAUAAAUAAUAAUAUAUAGACUAUUGGGUAUGCAAGGGAACGUGUUAUCUAUGUGCGUAAUAAGCUCGCCAUAUGUGUCAUUAUUCGGUAAUAUCAGUAUGAUGGAAUCCUGAGGUCAUUAGAAGUAGAAGCACAGGUCCAUAUUUAGAUCCUCAUGCAUGGUCUGGUCACGUUGCCAUGUGUCUCCUGAUAGAACGCAACCCCAUCCUCCACGUUCCAUCCACAACACGCUAUGAGCAGUGGUUGAUGAGUUCUGACCAUUAUGUGUCCCUCCCCCCUCCCAACCCCCCAUUUAAUGCACUUCCCAAACAUUCUUACAUUUUCCAUUGAAUUCCAUUAUUUAGCUUAUCUGAGUGGGUUUUGCUGUUUCCUUGGCUAGGAGGGCUACUCUAUGUGUGUCAUGUGAUGUUUCUAUUUAUUACUCCCUCGGAUAAUGUGGUUGUCUGGUUCAUACUUUCAGUUUUGGAAGGUCCCUAUUCGCUUGAUUUAUAAUAUACACACAGAGCAUUGCUGCUAUGAGCUGCUUCGUCCCAAGGAGUUUUGCCAGCAGCUAACUUGCAUGUGUGUAGACAUUCGGUUUUCUGGCACUUGCUUUAAAAUGUUUUUAAUACAGGAAACCACGCUGAAAUCAUGGAGACUAUGCAGAGCCUGUGAUGUAGGAAAUUUGUGUGUGUAUAUAUAUAUAUCACUCUUUCUGUUUAUAAUGCAAUUACUGAUAAAUGUUUCCUUAACCAGAUAAUGUUUAAAAGAGGAAGCAGCUGUUUCUUCUGUGUUUGGCCAUCUCUUGGCAGCUUCUUCUUUUCAAUAUCCCCCCCCACCUUUAUUUUUAUGUCUUUUGUUUUUCUAUUCCCGAUCUCUCCAUUGCAUGUGGCCUGAUUAUAAAAAAUCUGCAGUGACUUCAGAGACAUGCUGCACUGAUGGGCAAUGUGAAAGGUUGCAGUAGGGUUUAGAAUUGUGCAAACACAUUUACUUUCAGCAUGCUUUGCACAAUGCUGUGGCAAUGCAGUGUUUGUAAAACAGCAGUGCCACCUAGUUGAAAUAACUGAUCAAAUUUAGCCUUUCUUUGGGAAUGCACUUAUUCUAUAGGAACACCACUGCCAGUACGAAUUUAUGAUGCUAAAUGCAUUUAAAAAAUAAAUGUUUUUACUCAUCAUUGAAGUGAACUGAAAAUGAAAUAAAUAAAUAGCACAGCGAUGUGUACAACAGAGUGUGAGAAAUCUUUUAAAUCGGCUAUUUUUGUUCUGUUGUGUUUUUGCUGCUGAAGCAUCACAAAACUGAAAAGCGUAUUGCAAUGACAUUUCUCAAACCCUACUAUCCGAAAAGUUACUUCAAUCUCUUUAUGACCAAGACUUGCACAAAUCCUUUUAUAUCAUAAUAUGGAUACUCUUAUCUUCGGUUUCAAAAAAAAAUAAAAAAUUAAAUUUAAAAAUACAAGAACCAUUUGCAGGAGUAGUUUUUGUAGUGGAAGUACAUUCACCCGUGGACCUCUCUAUAAAAUACUUAACAUAUUUUCAGCCUGCUCUGGUGUUUGUUAAACCUGUUCCACAGUCACAACACUCUAAAUAUUUAUCUGGGCUGAUUUGAUGGGUAGCACUGAUCCAUUACUUUCUUGCAGUUUUUGUUCCGGGUAGUCUUUUAUUCUGAAGUGAAGCUGAGGAAUAUGUUUCAUCAGAUUGUACAUUAUUUACUUUGGAAACAUAUGUGGUUACAUACUGUAAUGGUGUCAUUUUGUUUUAUAGAAAACCAUUUUUGCACUAUACUUCUGCUUGGAAAAGACUCUAAACAGUAACUAUACAAAAACAAAAUGUUCAGUAAGGGGUUUUAUUUCACUAGAAUUGUUUUGAAGGCAUGCAUUUGGUGUCUUAUUCAGUCAACGGUGAAGAAUUGUUGAGGGUUUGCACAUUUUAGGCCAAAAUAUGAAAACACCUAUUUUUGCUAUUUAAUUCUUGUGCCUAGAAUUGGGUAUUUCAUUGUCCCAAUAAUAAUUUGCAGUUUAAUUAAUAAACCCCUAAGUGUACAGCACAGUCCGAUUUGUAAUACUUGGAUAGAUUUUCAAGUGGUAUUAAUGGAUUGUUAUUAAUUAAAAAAUAAACACCUAGUACUUUAUUCUGUUUGUUUACCUCAAGACUUGUAAAAUUCCAAAGCCAUAAGCCUGGUUUUAGGGAGAAACUGUGUGCAGUGGUCAGCAAUCUAUUGCCAAACUCAAACAGGCUGGGGAGGUCUGUGUAAUUCCUCUGGCGUUGACCUGACCAGUUUCUUGGCAGGACUUCUUCAGAUAUCUGCUAGUGCCCAAUUGAAGCGGGCAGUAAGGAGGAGACCUCAGAUCACUUCCUCUCCGUGUUUGUGAAGAAGACACGGCGCAGGUGUUGCCAGCAAACCCAGUCCUUACUGAACCCCAGGGAAGCUGACCCCCUGCCAGUGUUUGGGUGCAGUCAUGAGCAUGUCUGUUUGUGUCUAACUGUGUGAGAGUGUGAGUCCAGCAAUGUGCAACUGUGUGCCCUGGCAGUGUGCAUUGGAGGGGUGCUACACAUUCCAAAAACUGCUAAUGCGCAUGCACAUUGAAACACACCCACAUAUGGAUAAAUGCAAUUCUACAAAGCAUCCACAGCACCCAUACAUGACACAUCAGUAUUCUGCAAUGCAUGCACACACAAGUUAAUUAGAAAAAGGGGGGAAAAAAGGGUGCCGGCACGCCAAAAGACGUCAAAAUCUUGUUUUGGUACAGUGCUGCUAUAAGAUAAGGUUGCUUACACGAUUAUAUAUAAAUAAAAGCACUUUGAUACUUUGAGCUAAGUAGCUAGUUACAAAGUCCCAGAGAACAAGGUGUCAUCUUUCCUCUUCACUACCUGGAGUUUUUAAUAAGUCAACCAGUGUUCGUUACAGAAUCCAAGAUAAUAGAGAAAUAUGCUGCUAGUGUAUAUAAAUAUUUUUUUGAAUUGUUGUAGUCAGACAUUUUAUAGUCAGGAUAUAGGAGGUCAUGUAGAGCAGGUAUAGGUAACCUUUGGCACUCCAGAUGUUUUAGACUACACCUCCCAUGAUUUUUAAAAAAAUUUUUUUAUUAUUAUAUUUUAUUUUUUUUUGGAAGCAAAAUCUAGUUGUUGCAUAGGAACAUUUCCCAUUGUUAAUUGUUUUUGCUAUAUGAAAAGAAAUAAUGCUAUACUCCCAAAAAUAUAUUUGCUGGUUAGAGCAGCGGUAAUGUCGCCUCCUUAGAACUACCACGUUACCAGUAAAUUAUAAUUGGAAUGUGUUUCUUAAUAUGUUGAUGCUAUAUAAAUGCUAAUCAUAAUAAUAGUAAAAAAAAAAAAAAGUUGCACCAGCAACAAUGUGGCAUAAAUAAGGUGCAGUAAAAUGUACAUUUAAAAAAAUAAAUAAAAAAUAUAGAGAGAGAGAGAGAGUGUGUCUGUCUGUCUGUCUGUCUGUCUGUCUGUCUGUCUGUCUGUCUCUGGCACUCUGCCUUAAAAUUGUAAUCCAAAAAAGCCUCGGUGCUGCAGAGCGUAAAUAAACAGAAAAAUGAUAAGAAGACCUGCGGGUCGAAACGUCGAUUUUGCUCAACACCGAUAAAAUUUACUAAACAAGUCCUCUGGAGUGCUCUUCUUAAAGGACCACUAUAGUACCAGGAAAACAUACUCGUUUUCCUGGCACUAUAGUGCCCUGAGGGUGCCCCCACCCUCAGGGUCCCCCUCCCGCCCGGCUCUGGAAGGGGGAAAGGGGUAAAAACUUACCUUUUUCCAGCGCUGGGCGGAGAGCUCUCCUCCUCCUCUCCGCCUCCAUUACGCCCCGCCGGCUGAAUGCGCACGCGCGGCAAGAGCUGCGCGCGCAUUCAGCCGGUCUCAUAGGAAAGCAUUUACAAUGCUUUCCUAUGGACGCUGGCGUGCUCUCACUGUGAUUUUCACAGUGAGAAGCACGCAAGCGCCUCUAGUGGCUGUCAAUGAGACAGCCACUAGAGGAUUAGGGGGAAGGCUUAACUCAUUCAUAAUUAUAGCAGUUUCUCUGAAACUGCUAUAAUUAUGAAAAAAUGGGUUAACCCUAGAAGGACCUGGCACCCAGACCACUUCAUUAAGCUGAAGUGGUCUGGGUGCCUAGAGUGGUCCUUUAAUAUUAUUUGAAUAAACUUUUUUAUUUCAAAGUCCGGAGAGCAGCCUUCCUUCUUGUUGACUGACUAUAUAUAAUCACACACACUCAUCUAAAGGUUAAAGGCAUUCAGAUGUCCACACCCUGUCGCAUCUGGAUAUAUUCCUCUCCACCCAGAAAAACGAGAGUGACUGGCACAAAUUUUGAUUUUGCGUUAGUGGUAGUAGCUGGGGAGGAGACAUGAGAGACUCUGCAUAGAGCGGAUCAAAUAUGAAGUCUUUGAUCAUUGGGGGAUUCUUUAAAGGCAUUCCCUGUAAGGCUGAUUGUAGAGUUCCGUGUCAAUAAGAAUAAAUAAAACCUUGUCACGAUCAUGUUGCACCCACUGUUUAGUUUCGACAUGCCAUUUGAGGAUUUGGAGUGCUGACACUUGCUAUGUAAAUUUGAAAAAAAAAAAAAAAAAGAGUAUGAUGAAGUAAAAUUCUUGCAUUAAAAGUAUGUAUAUUCAAUUUGCAUAUACAGACAUCACUUCUCAAUUGGUUUUUAUCAGUUGUCAUCUGAAAUUAGAGGGAAAUUAUAGUGCCAGGAAAACAAAGUUGUUUUCCUGGCACUAUAGCUCCCUAAAGUGCCCCCCUCCCACCAGUGGUGUAGAAGCACCUGUAUCCUUCGGCGCUGGCUUGGGUCCGCCUUCGUCACUGGCCGUGCUCACAUUAGGAUUUCCCCAUAGGAGAACAUUAUACAAUACUUUCCUAUGGGGCAUCGGGUGAUGCUGGAUGACCUCAUGGCGUCAGGCGACCAAAAGUCUCAUAAUCACCCAGAAGUCCCUCUAGUGGCUGUUUAGUUAAUCCAUAACCCACCCUACCCCUCGCCCACCCACCCACACAACUUUCAAUCUACUGAAAUGACAGGUGCAACCACUGAUCAGCACACCCUUUCAAUCUCUUAACCCUAUAGAACACAUACCCUCUCUCACUACAAAUAGAUAUCACACACCAAAACCAUAUACUUCUAUUUACAUUUUUUUUUCUCACAAUUUCUGUUUCAUUUUCAACUACACACCUUAUACCACUAACAUGAAUCCUAAUAUAACCAUACUGUUAUUCUUAAUAACCCUUUUCUCAAUCCAAUUUUGUUCACACAACUACCAGCAUAAGCACACACCUCAAACUGGAACACAAAUUAUAAUACACCAUGGCCUGCUCUGUUCCUUUAACUUAUCUGCUGAGUGCUGGUGGAGAGUUAUAAAAAAUAGCCCUCCUACCCCAAACUCACAAAAUUAUAAAUUAUCCCAUUCACUAUAUGGCCAAACAAAGAUGAUGUCCAAAUUCCUACUCCUUAUGUUACUUGCCCUUGCAAAUGAUGUGGAGUCUAACCCUGGUCCCCCAGCUAAUUCUAGUCCUAAUCUCCCCACUAAAAAAGGCCUCUCUUUUGUGCACUGCAACAUCCGUAGUUUACUCCCUAAACUGGAUGCACUGCAAGCCUGGUGUUCCCAUUACAAACCAAAAAUCAUUGUGCUCUCAGAAUCAUGGUUAACGGCUAAAAUACCAGACACCGCCAUUGCAAUACAGGGUUAUUCAUGUUUUAGAAAUGACAGAGCAAAGAGAGGAGGAGGCAUUGUUAUUUAUGUUGACAAUUCCAUAAAGUUUACCCCUUUACAAAACCUUAGUCCUCCUGCCAUCUUUGAUUUCCUUUCUGGCACAAUUGAGAUCCCGUGCAGUAAAUCCAUCAUUGUUGCAGGAAUCUACCGCCCACCUAGCUCUCCUGUGCAUUCCCUUUCUGACAUAGCCCAUCUCCUUAGUGAAACCAUAGCUCAAAACCCAAAAAGUGAACUGUUGGUCUUUGGAGAUUUUAAUAUUGAUUGGCUGAACCCUAAAAAUAAUAGUUCUUGCACGCUGUUUAAGACUUUGCAGCUAACGCAAUUAAUCUCCUCCCCAACUCGCAUAAACAUUAAAAGCCAUAAACAUACCCUGCUAGAUUGGAUUCUCUCCACUUCUCCUGAUAGAAUCCAGGAGGUUGGUGUUCUCCCCAACACGUUCAGUGAUCACUGUUUAGUGUACUGCGUGCGCAAAAUAAAGGCUAUUAAAUCCUCUCCCAAGGUUAAAAUAACUAGGUCCUUCAAAAAAUUUAAUCUUGAAUCCUUUUUAAAUGACAUCAAGAAUCUCUCAUGGCACAGAUUAAACAUUAUCCCAGAUCUAGACUGUGCUGUUGAAUACUUUCAGUCUGAACUCCUUCAAAUCUGGAAUUUGCAUGCCCCGCUGCGUAAGGUGAGGGUAAAAGGAGCGCAUAUGAACUGGAUCACAGCUGACCUCAUCCAAAUGUACCAGUUUCGGGAUUCUUUGUGGUCAAAGUUUAAGCAUACUGGCUCUAUGAAUGAUCACGGUGCAUAUAGACAAUGGCGAAAUAUAUGCACAAAACAGACAAAACUGGCCAAGGCCCAAUAUUUCUAUGAAAAUCUGAACAGUAACAUCUCAAACCCUAGAAACUUUUGGAAAGUCAUAAAUAAACUACAAACUCCCCCAAUCCACUCCCAACCCUCCACUGUCAAAGUGGGUAACCAAACCCUGCAACUUCCUUUAGAUGUUGCAAAUGCCUUUAACAAUUAUUUUGUCGGAUGCUCUACUGCCCUGAUUGACAAGCUAAUAAAUGACACGCAUCCUGAAACUACAAAUGUGGAUCAGGCCCCACUAAAUUUGCAAAGGCCCAAUAUAGAUAAGUUUAAUUUUAGACCUGUACCUGUUAGUGUCAUUAAAAAACAUCUUAAUAAUCUAAAAAUGAAAAACCAGUCCGGACCUGAUCAAAUCCCAGCAAUGCUGUUGAAGCUCAGUGCGCCGGCAAUUGCUAAACCCGUCUCAACUCUAAUUAACGAAUCCUUGGUGUCUGGAUACAUACCCAAACUUUGGAAGACUGCGAGAGUAGUGCCUAUCCAUAAAAGUGGUGACACUACUUUGGUUUCUAACUAUCGCCCAAUAUCAUUGCUCCUGGUAUUGUCAAAAAUCUUAGAAAAAUGUGUCCAUACGCAACUUUGUGAGUACUACCAACAAUUAAACUAUCUGACCCCUGAUCAAUCGGGCUUUCGCCAGAAUCACUCCACUACAAUUGCCCUCCUAAAAGUUUGCAAUGACAUCCAAACUGGCAUGGAACAAGGAGCCCUAACUGGAGCUAUUUUCCUUGAUUUUGCUAAGGCCUUUGACACAGUAGACCACGACAUUCUACUGCACAAACUCGAAAACUCAGGUAUUGGUGAUCAUUCUUUAAACUGGUUUCGAUCGUAUGUAUCGGAUCGCUCGCAAUAUGUGUCCAUUUCUGACAGUGACUCCCUCCCUCUCCCAGUCACGUGUGGUGUUCCCCAGGGUUCCAUUCUCGGCCCCCUACUAUUUACAUUAUUUAUAAAUGAUCUGCCUUAUGUCUGCCAAUCCUCAAAUGUACACAUGUACGCAGAUGACACGGUAAUCUAUGCGAGCAAACCCAAUCUACCGCAACUUGAGGCUUUGCUCCAAGACCAGUUUACAGAGGUAGAAAAGUGGAUCGCAAAAAACAAACUCUUCCUGAACACUGACAAAACUGUCACAAUGAUCUUUGGAACAGUACCUAAAUUGCACAAAUUACACAAUCCCCACCUAUCCAUCAAAACAAAUUCAAAUGGCACACUGACCGCAGUCCACUCUUUCAAAUACUUGGGUAUGAUAUUAGACCCCAAUCUAUCUUUUGGCCUGCACAUAGAAAAGCUUGCAUCUAAACUUUAUCCAAAAUUAGGUGCCCUGUACAGAAACAAAGCCUGCCUAAGCCCUACAGUAAAGGAAAAGAUUGUACAGCAAAUGCUGAUGCCAAUCAUUGAUUAUGGGGAUGUAGUAUAUGCGUCUGCAUCGCGAUCCCACAUUAAUAAACUCAACACAUUGUAUAACUCGUUCUGCCGAUUUGUGCUACAAUGUAAUUACAGGACCCAUCAUUGUGACAUGCUAAAGGAACUAAACUGGCUGUCGCUGGAAUCCAGACGCACCCUUCAUCUUUCCAGCCUUGUUUUUAAGAGCUUUUCUGGGAAACUCCCACCCUACCUGAACAAAAUGCUUUCCCCAGCUGUUCCCACUUUCUAUAAGCUCCGAUCCAGUACAAGCACUUUACUUAGUCUACCUCAAUACAAAAAGAAAGCGGCCCGAUCCUCCUUCUCCUACAGAGCACCGCAAUUGUGGAACGACCUCCCGCACAAUUUAAAAUCUUCCCUAAGCCUAAAGUCAUUUAAGAGAUCCCUCUCUACAUACCUCAAAACAGAAUGCACGUGUCAUGGUUGAUUAUAUAUUUCCUGCCUGUUCUAUGUUAAAUUUUGUAUAUAUUGUGUAUUAAUAUUGUUUUUGUAUUUUGUUGUACCUAAUGUAACAAUGCAAUGAUUUGUGGACCCAGGACAUACUUGAAAACGAGAGAAAUCUCAAUGUAUCUUUCCUGGUAAAAUAUUUUAUAAAUAAAUAAAUGUAAUUUAUUGCAGUUAAUAACUUCAAUAAUGACCUUUGUUGGGUUAAGGGACCAGGGAAAGUGCACCCAGACCACUUCAAUGAACUGAAGUGGUCUGGGUGCCAACAGUGUCGCUUUAAAGGACUAUUGCUUAUAGUAAGCAAAGAGAAUUUUAUUGACAGAAACAUUGUAAUUGGCCCAAACCUGGUCAUAUAAGGACAGCUGCUGUGACAUUUAUCAAUACAUUAAAGGAGAAAAGGUCCAGGCACUCCUUGGUUCAAAAUAGGCACUUUAUUAGAACCACAGCUGUGGUUCUAAUAAAGUGCCUAUUUUGAACCAAGGAACCUUUUUUCCUUUAUUCUACUACUUUGGAAAUCUGGCGUUUGGUUCUGGUAUAGCUAAAGUACCCUGGCUCAGACUGAUGGGAGUGAGUGCAGUUCCCUCACAUAAUGUAUUUUAACAUAAUGUAUUUAUUUCAAGAGCUUUAUGCAGUGGAUAUAUCUAUUUUACCUGCUUCCCACAAACCUCCCUGUAAUAGUGCUAAUGAUAGCAUUGUAUUAAGGAGGAUGUUAAGGAUUUACACUCUUUCGAAAGAGUUUAUUUAGAAACUAACUUUAUGAAGGCAAACCAUCCAGCUGUACCCACGAAUUAGGUACUUCUCAUUAUGCCAGGAUAAUAGUCAAUGCUCAGUCUUGUUUUUUUCCUUUUGGAUCUAUUGACAUUUAAGAAAGAGGUUCCUAUGGUGUGGGUGUGUGUCAUUAGGCAUUAGAGAGUGUGGGAACAGUGGUUCUUAGGUUAGAAAUUCGCAUCUAACAUUUACAUAGAUAAAGAAAUGUGAUAAUUUUUCAGUUUGUUUUGAGUGCCAGUAAUUGUGUAAGCGUUUUAAUUAGUGCCUUUCAUUCUGUCCUCAAGCUUCAGCUGUAUGUACUCUGAAGUGUACAUAUUUAGUCAUUAUUUACAAGCUUAUAAUUCUAAAGAAUAAAAUACUCGCUCUGUACUUCCAUGCGUUUUUCUUAUGGAGAAUAUUGGGUACAUUCAGGAAACUAUACUGCUUGUUUUUGCAAUGGGAGGUCAGAUGCUGAUGCUGCCAAUACUUUCUGUAUGUGUCACAGGUUCAGGAUUGAUCAUAAUCAAGAUACUCUCCACGCAGACACCAGAGAAACCUGUUCAGGACAGAAGGUAGGUUAUCAUUUCUCUUAUUUUCGUCUAGGAAUAAUGACUCUCUCUCUCUCUCUCUCUCUAUCUAUCUAUCUAUCUAUCUAUCUAUUUAUUUCAAGGGCAUGGGAGCUUCUGCAACACAUGACGGGUACACUUUACAGCAUAUAGCAAAUCAUGAAACACAAUAGUUCUUAGCUGGAAAAAGGUUACAACCUAACUUAGAAACAUAGAAUGUGACGGCAGAUAAGAACCAUUCGGCCCAUCUAGUCUGCCCAAUUUUCUAAAUACUUUCAUUAGUCCCUGGCCUUAUCUUAUAGUUAGGAUAGCCUUAUGCCUAUCCCACGCAUGCUUAAACUCCUUUACUGUGUUAACCUCUACCACUUCAGCUGGAAGGCUAUUCCAUGCAUCCACUACCCUCUCAGUAAAGUAAUACUUCCUGAUAUUAUUUUUAAACCUUUGUCCCUCUAAUUUAAGACUAUGUCCUCUUGUUGUGGUAGUUUUUCUUCUUUUAAAUAUAGUCUCCUUCUUUACUGUGUUGAUUCCCUUUAUGUAUUUAAAUGUUUCUAUCACAUCCCCCCGUCUCGUCUUUCCCCCAAGCUAUACAUGUUAAGAUCCUUUAACCUUUCCUGGUAAGUUUUCUCCCGCAAUCCAUGAACCAGUUUAGUAGCCCUUCUCCGAACUCUCUCUAAGGUAUCAAUAUCCUUCUGAAGAUACGGUCUCCAGUACUGUGUACAAUACUCCAAGUGAGGUCUCACCAGUGUUCUGUACAAUGGCAUGAGCACUUCCCUCUUUCUACUGCUAAUACCUUUCCCUAUACAACCAAGCAUUCUGCUAGCAUUUCCUGCUGCUCUAUUACAUUGUCUGCCUACCUUUAAGUCAUCAGAAAUAAUCACCCCUAAAUCCCUUUCCUCAGAUGUUGGUUAGGACUCUAUCAAAUAUUCUGUACUCUGCCCUUGGGUUUUUACAUCCAAGAUGCAUUAUCUUGCACUUAUCCACAUUAAAUGUCAGUUGCCACAUUUCUGAACAUUUUUCUAGUUUAUCUAAAUCAUUUGCCAAUUGGCUUAUCCCUCCUGGAACAUCAACCCUGUUACAUAUCUUAGUAUCAUCAGCAAAAAGACAUACCUUAUCAUCAAGACCUUCUGCAAUAUCACCAAUAAAAAUAUUAAAGAGAAUGGGUCCAAGUACAGAUCCCUGAGGUACCCCACUGGUAAAAAGUCCAAGCUUCGAAUAUACUCCAUUGACUACAACCCUCUGUUGCCUGUCACUCAGCCACUGCCUUACCCAUUCAACAAUAUUGGAAUCCAAACUUAAAGAUUGCAGUUUAUUGAUAAGCCUUCUAUGUGCAGUGUCAAAAUCCUUACUGAAAUCUAGGUAAGCAAUGUCUACUGCACCACCCUGAUCUAUUAUUUUAGUUACCCAAUACCCAAUCAAAAAAAAUCAAUAAGAUUAGUUUGGCAUGAUCUCCCUGAAGUAAACCCAUGUUGUCUCUGAUCUUGAAAUACAUGUGUUUUUAGAUGUUCAACAAUCCUAUCCUUUAACAUGGUUCCCAUCACUUUCCCCACUACUGAAGUAAGGCUUGUUUUCGGCCUAUAGUUGCCCGACUCUCCCUAUAUUACCUUCUGGUGAAUGUGGGCAACAUUCGCUAACUUCCAAUCUUCUUGGGACUACUUCCUUGUUAACAAUGAUUGCUUAAAUAAAUCUUAAUGGUUUUGCUUAGUACACCACUAAGCUCUUUUAAUAGCUUCGGUGUAUUCCAUCAGAUCCCAUUGACUUAUUUGUCUUUACUUUUGACAGUUGAAAUAGAACCUCUUCCUCUGUAAACUCACGUGUAAUAAAUGACUCAUUUAUCCUUUUUCUUAACUGAGGUCCCUUUCCUUCAUUUUCAUCUGUAAAUACCAAACAAAAAUAUUCAUCGAGGCAGUCAGCUAGACCUUUAUCCUCUUCUACAUACCUUCCUUCUUUUGUUUAUAAUCUAACUAAUCCUUGUUUUACGUUUCUUUUCUCAUUUAUGUAUCUAAAAAAUGUUUUGGCCCCCUUUUUUACUGACUGUGCUAUUUUCUCUUCUGUGUGUGAUUUGGAAGCUCUUAUAACUUGAUUAGCCUCUUACUGCCUAAUCUUAUAGAUCAUUUUGUCUUCCUCACUCUGGUUUUUUUUAUAAUUUCUAAAUGCUAACUUUUUGUUGAACUACUUUGGCCACAUAUGGGGAGUACCACAGUGGUUUCUUUAAUUUUUUGCUUUUACUGACAAGCCUAAUGCAAUUUUCUGUUGCCUUCAGUAGUGCAACUUUUAGAUAAUCCCAUUUCUCUUGGACUCCAUUUAAAUUUCUCCAGUCUGAAAAUGACUCUCCUACACAUUUUCUAAUUUUAGAAAAACUUUCAAGGACAUAUUAUUUUCUAGUUUAUCCUGUUAUCCCUCUAACAUAAUCACUAACAGACUGUGUCAUAUUUUGUUGACACUAUAACAGAACCCUCUAUUUACUAUAGGGUCAGGAACACAAACAUGUAUUCCUGACCCUAUAGUGUUAAAACCACCAUCUAGACCCUCAUGCCUCCAUAAAUAUAGUAAAAAAUCUUACUGUAUUCAAGCAUGAAACUGUAACUCUGCAUGCUGUUAGACUCAGAAAAACAAGCAGUCUGUUGACAUCAUUAGAAGUGGUAGCCUGACCCAAUCACAAUGCUUCCCCAUAGGAUUGGCUGAGGAGGCAGAUCAGGGGAAGAGCCAGCAUGAUUCAAACAUAAUCCUGGCCAAUCAGCAUCUCCUCAUGGAGAUGAAUUGAAUCAAUGAAUCUCUAUGAGGAAAGUUCAGUGUCUCCAUGCAGAGGGAGGAGAUACUGAAUGUUUGAAUGCAUUUUACGCAGCCAUGACCCAGGAAGGAUCUCUAACAGCCAUCUGAGGAGUGGCCAGUGAAGUUAUCACUAGGCUGUAAUGUAAACACUGCAUUUUCUCUGAAAAGGCCGUGUUUACAGCAAAAAGCCUGAAGGUAAUGAUUCUACUCACCAGAACAAAUUCAAUAAGCUGUAGUUGUUUCUGGUGACUAUAGUGUCCCUUUAAACUAUUGAAUGCUAAUGAUAAUAUGCAUUCAUCAAUAUUCUAGGGAGCCAUUGAGAUUGCUAUUGCAAUGUAUUUUACCAUAUAACUGGAUUGUUGUCUAGUUAAAGGAACACGAUAGUGUUAGGAAUGCAGACCUUUUUUUUUAAUACUUUUUUUUUUUUUUAAAUCUUGCCUCUUUCCAGUGCAGAAUCUGUCAUGAUGUUGGCUAGGUCUCCAGCUAUGGUGACAGUGAUACCUAAUGUGCAUUCCAUCUCUUCCAUAGUAAAGUAUUAAAUCAUUGCUUUUUUACUAUGGGAAUAUAGAAAAUGUUAGACAUCCUCAUCCAAAGCGUUGGGACAUCCAGCAUCAGUUAACAGAGUAAAACUCCACUGGGGACCUGGAAGACAGGCAUCAGGGGUGGAGUUAACCCUGCAAUGUAAUCACACAGGAAUUGCACCCAGACCACUUCAAUGAGAUGAAGUGGUCCAGGUGCCUAUAGUGUCCCUAUAAAUAUUUUCCUCUUAAUUACCCAGUAACUCCAUAUAGCCACAUACAUUCAUUCAGACAUGCCUAUAAUACACUGAGUGCCAUGGAAAGCCAUUUUGUUCUCUUUUCAAACUGCACCUAUAUGGCACCUAUACAUUUUCAGCACCAAAACCUACUACAAUGGGCUGUAUUUUUUUUUUUGUUGUAAUUCUUUAUUUUUUAUACAAUUCGGAUACAUUAGUCACAGUAGUUCUGCCAUUGCAGUAUGAACAAUAGUAGACACAACACAACAUUACCGAUGCAACAUGCUAAAGCAUGGCAUACAUUAUCAUUGCACAAUUUUGGUAUAAUGGACUGUUCGUUGUAACGAUGUAGAUAAUGUAUGUGAUAAUAUCUCUUCACUAUGCUAGCUGUGUUAGGGCCACUCGUGUAGGGAAUUCGUCAGGCCUUGUUCUGAGUUUCAUGAGAGAGAGACUGUGGUGCGGGCACCAGCUUAUGGGUUACAUGCUACUCUGCUGGUUCAGAGGGUUGUUGCUCCGGUUAAUUAAAAACUCUGUCUCCUAGUUGAUGGGCUAGCUACCUGGCUGUCAGUGUUUGAGGUGAGUUAGCGGCUUUGGUUCGAUUCCUAGCGAAGGAGUUAAAGCUCCUAUGGGUGUCUGGUGUGUUGCCUAUGGUAAGUUUACGCGUAGGGAGCUAGUGAGUAGACUGUGAUGUGGGGUUCAGGUCAGUCCCAUUACCACGUCUAGGUAGGCCCAUUUACCGGGUUGUGGGGCGGGGACCCCUCGUACCUCUGCAUGUCUUACCCCGUUACCCUGAGGUUAUAAAAAAAGGGGAGGGAGGGUGGCAGUAGUGGCUCCCAUGGAGAGCGCCUUGUGUGUUAUUGGCAGAAAGCGGGUGAGGUGUUUGUCACUUUCCCAUUUUGCUGUGGGUGGCAAUACAUCGGCAGGUAUUGUUAAAGACAAUUUAACAAAAUUAUUUACAGAAAGAAACAUUAAACCAUACAUAAAACAUGAGUAAAACUUCAUUAGAGGUUGGCCAGGUGUUGAGGCUUGUCAGGUCAUAGGCCUCUUGUCCCUCCUGGGCUCAAAUGUGGGUAUGGCUGUGACAGUUCGUGAGGGAGUGCGAGGCAGUCCUUGGUUUGUAUUACUUUGUUGAGGGAGGGCCAGUGCCGCCAGUAGGGCAGGGAUUUUAGCUGGUUCUGUGGCCUUGUACGAUUUCCCCUCCUUAGUGACCCAUACUGAUCUUGGUGUUGCCCAUCUGUAGGUCAUGCCUUCAGUUUGCAGGAUUUUCGUAAGGGGUUGCAUAGAUUUCCUCCACAACAAAGUGGCUCUGCUUAAAUCUUUGAAAAAUCAAUUUCUGGCACUGUUCAAAAUAGUAAAAAGACGGGGGGCAGGGCCUGACAGCCAAGAUGGCUAGACGCGUUUGUCACAAGCUCCUGCUAAACUAAACUAAACUGCCUGAAAAAACUAAGGCAAACCUGGGGAAAACUGACCCUAGGCAACCAGAGGAUCACCCUAAACCCCCUCGACUACUCCCGAAGCUUGAACCUGGGUGACCCGAUGGCAGCACACAGCGCUACAGCCUAUUACGGUCGACGACCUGGGUGUUGGGUGAGGUGGCCGAUCUCCCAACCCCUGGCUCCAAGCGACCACAGGAAUCUGCACAGCCCUGUUCCCCCCCGUCCCCUUGGACCGGCGGGGGAUAUCCCGGUCCCUACAGGGUGCGACCUCACCUCAGCAUGACCAACAAGUCGGAGCAAAAACCCUGAAGCCGCAUGGCUGCCAAAGAUGGCGGAUGACAAGCACCCCUCACGAGCACAUACAAAUCCAAGGAGUGAUCGGGAGCUUGAGCCUAUCGAGGCCUCCUUUGAAAAGUUAUGGCAAGCAUUCUGUCUCUGCCUGAAACUCCGGGCACACUGGCUAGCCACUCAUGCGAAACACGAACAACCGACGGCAAAGAAAGCUGCGGCACUGCCAUACAGGCGCAAGGCCUGCUCCACGCGGAAGCCAGCCGACGCCCUCAAGCACAGAGAAGCCCCCGGCUAACCAGAGCCCGACCCCCGACGACACUCAAGAACACCUCUCCGAGUGCCAAAGCCCAACCCAGCCUCACAGCAAAAGCAGGAAGCUAGAAUAUGAAUAGAGGUGAGCAUUGUGUAGUCCCAAUGGCGUUUAUCUACCUUAACUUUACACAACAUGCAGACACCCAAGCCAUGGGACAGUCGAGCAGGAUACUACAUAGCAGCCUGUAUCAUACCUGGUCAACACAUACCAUAGCCCUGAAACACGAAAACAUGAUUGCACACCAUACUGACACUAACGUAGUUAAUACAAAAUUGUUAAACAUUAAUCGUUCUCACUUGUUUUAAUUACUGUUACGCCGCAAGUAUAAUCGUCUACUUAAGCUGGUUAAAAUUAUAAAAAUGUGCAAAUUCUCAUGCCACUACCUAAUGUAUGCUAACCCUGCAAUAUGCUGUUGUGGUGGCACCUGUUUGAUAUCUUGUACCCUCCUGCACAACAAAAAUAAAGAAUUAAAAAAAAAAAAAAAAAUUGUAAAGAGACUGUCCCUUUAGUGCCGUUAAGAGUCCCAUCUUGUCCGAAAUCAAGUGGCAUCGCUGGAUAAUGUCGCGGGAUGCAGAGGCUGGGGCUUGAGGAGACCUUGCAAUCCUGUACACCCCUAUUGAAUGUUAAGUAUUUGGCUUGCUUUACCGGCAGGAGGGAAGCCACCAAUCUUUGUAUGAAAUGUGGUAACUCUUCUAGAGGGAUUGUUUCCAGGACUCCCCGUAUCUUAAUAUUCUUCCUUCGCCCUCUGUCAUCUAAAAUAUUCACCUGUUUGCGUGUCUCAAUAUGUGUUGCCUGUAUUUGCUGCACUUGUUCACUCAGCGCCUUUAGGCAGGAUUUUUUAACCCGGGGCGAGGAAGAAAGGCAUCGGCCACUUCAGGGCAGUGUUCUACAUGUGAGUCUGCCCCUGUGGUUAUUGUUGGCUGUAAGAUGCUGUUGCUAUUUAGUAGAUUGCGAGUUUGGCCGCCGGAGCUAGGAAGUAUGGCGUCUGCUCUGGUGUGCUGCUAGGCUUCGCCCUCACAAUGGGCUGUAUUUGUUAUGUUUCUUAGAUGGCUACUUUAAUAGGAGAUACAUAAACACAUACAUUGUUUUUUUCAGAUUUCCCAAAAAGUCUUUCGAUAGAGAUAUGCAAGUAUGGCUUCAUCUUUGUAAGGACAUGAAGGGGUGCUGCCCUGCGACAGCACUGUUCCUUUAAAUGUGGGAACCAACUUAGCAGAGAAAUAAUGCAAGGACACGAUGAAUAGAGCAAUCAAGAAAAUAUGUAUUAAAGAAAACCAAAGGAUAUAAUAUACAAAAUAUGUACAAUGAUAUAUAUUAUAUACACACACACACACACACACACUAAAUACAAAUAGAGCAGGUAGAGUACACUUGAUAGUCCUUAGGCAGGAUCGUGCAGCCACCAAAGAAUAUAAGUGGGGCACGGAUCCUAAGCCACCAAGCACUAAAUAAAAAACACCAAGGAGCAAAGCCCAAAGCAGGUCACACGUAAAUAAGGCAGCAAGGUCAGAAUCACUGGAAAUGAAGUAUAGGCAGGAACACUGGAACGGGAGACACUGGACCAGGCAAAGACGAGAACGCAGGACUAUAAGGACAUCGGAACAGGAUCAGGAUACAAGACACAGGAGCAAGGAGUCAGAAUCACGGGGAACCAAGAAACAGCAGGUGAAGGAUAAUGAUCUGACAGGGAGUGAGGGGAGAUACCAGAAUAUAUAGGUGCCAAACAAGGGCCAGGUGUAGUGCUUAACGAAAAGAAAUGAGAAACAGUGCCAAACAGAAACAGUGGUGAGUGUGAGUACUGCAUGAGGGCAUAUUAACUAAGGAGUGUCGUGACAAUCUUCAUGUGUUUUUUUUUUUUUUUUUUAAAUAGACCCUGUUAAUGUCUGUACCCUACUAAACACAGUUUGUCUAGGUUAGAGGUGGAGUGCUAGAUAAUCCACUUAUAUUCACUUUCUUAUGUCCUGGCUAGAGGCAUAGUCUAUUUUUAUUUUCCCCUUGUGUAUGAAACAUAUAUGCAUAACGAUACCUGCAGUUCCUGUAUUUCCAUUUUUUUUUGCAGCUUCUUCAGUGAGCUUUUUCCAGACUAGGAAAGCAUUCUGCCAGUUAGCUCAUCCCAUAAAUCAGUCCCAUCAGUGUCUCUGGGAGUUGUAUUCCAGUUCUCAGCUUUGUACUGCAGGACUACAACUAGCAUGACAUCCGAUACAACUUAUUAUUAAAGCAUUAAGAGAAAUGCUAAAGUUCAGGAGGAAGUGUCAAAGUUCAAAAAGGGGAGGUUUUUCAUAGGAAACUGUUGUAUUACAAUAAUGUACAGAACAGCAAAAAACAACAAAAUAGCAUAACCUACUGCAGCACAACAUACACUUUACACCUAAGUUGUGGGUGCAUUGGAUGACCCUAUAAUAAGUGAUUGUACACCUGUAACAUGAACACUUUAUUUUUCCAAGUAGUGCAGAAAAUCUUUUAUUAAAUGAGAUAUUUGCCAAAAAAGUAAGUUUGUUUCAACAAGAAUGACUGCUUCCUAAUAGAUAAUUAGUAGUACUGUAUGAUAAGGUUACAAAAUACUCUGCCUCUGCUGAAAUGAAAUGUACUCUGCAGGCUUCUAAAAUUAAAGUAUCGCAAAUUGUCUGCAAGAGAUAAACUCGGGGAGAGAGAAACAAAGAGAAUCGUAUGCUAUUCUUGUUUACAUAAAUACCACACCAAAAGCUGAGCCAAUCUAAAAACCUGGUCUAUUCUGUUUAAUGGUGUGAUGACACCAAAAUGAAUAAAAUAUAAUAUUCUUUCCUUGCUUUCUUUAUAGUAAGCCAUUAAACAUAUUGUGCCUCAGCCUGGAGAGAUCUGGUUGUCAGAGCCACUAAUUAAGGUGUGUGUGUGUGUGUGUCCCAGACAAGAGAUUAUCAGAUAUGCCCUUAGGAGGAUAUUGAUUUUGUGAAACCUCAUGAAGCCUUGAAGCAGCUGUCAAAGAGAAAGCAACUUAAAGAGACACCGCACAGUGGUUAUUUUAUGCAUAACUGAUUCUAUUACAAUUUGCAUAAAUAUGAUACUUUGUAUGAAUCUAACUCAUGCUGGGUUUUCCUUUAGCUACAUCUUGUUAUUUUUGCUUGCUGUAUGAAGUGGCUGGAUAAUCCCAGCGAAUCUUGUCGCGCAACUUUAAAAUCAAUGGGAGAUGCACUAAGCAUGAUUCCAGUGGGAGAGACUUGCAAGUGAAAUGCAUUGACAAUAAUGACAUCCUUUUGUAUAUUUUGUAUAUUGUCUUAUGUAUGGCUUUACCUGUUCUUUUUCACCCUGUGUGUUCACAUAGAGUGCAGAAAAUGCAUACACACCGCGACCUUUGUUUAUUCAUGUGCACUCUGUAUGCAUCCACACUGGUUGGUCACUUGAAGCACCAUCUCAGCCUUGCAGAUGUGUGUGUGUGUGUGUGUAUAUAUAGUUAAUGGUGCAGAGAGUAUGUUCACAUGCUCUCUGAUCUCAGUGUGGCUCAGAAAUGCAGCCAUUUCCUAAAAUCACUGCAAUCAAUCAGAGGUGUCAGUUGGGCAGCCAGCAAUGCAUGGUGUUGGGUUGCACACGUUGAUUUUUCUCCAGUUUGAGUUCAUGCAGCAUCUGCAUGCUAAAUCUAGAUUGUGUUCUUUUCUCCCAGGAGAUAGCCAAACCAUGGACCCGAACUCCCAAAACGUAUAUUUACACAUUGUCCAGUUAACUAAACCGUGAAUCGUGCCACAAUAUGGCUUUUAUCAGUGUUCGUGUCCCACAGCUCCCUCUUGUGGCAAUGAAAGGGUUAGAUAACCCUUUAAAAUUUUACUUUAUUCAAGAUUACUGGAUUGCUCUCCGACGUCCGUACGAGGGGGAUCCUAAGGUGUGGAACAUGCGCAUAAGACCUUCCCCAUGGGAAAGCAUUGAAUUUGUGCUUUCCUAUGGGGUUUUGCAAGAUGCUUGACAUUUACCAUGAAGUGCCUCUAGAGGCUGUCUGGUAGCCACUAGAGUCAGUCUAAUCCCUUUAAUGUAAACAUUGCAGUUUCUCUGAAACAUCCUGACAUUUAUGGAUGUAAAGGGAGACUGCAGUUGUUGAUCAAACUUUUUACACAGCGGAACAAGCUGUUCACACAGCUGUCCACGUAUAGGAUGUUGUGUCUACUUUGAUAAUUAUGCUUGUAUAUGAAUAUGAAUAUAUGUGUGUAUGUGUGUAUAUAUAUAUAUAUAUAUAUAUAUAUAUAUAUAUAUAUAUAUAUAUAUAUAUAUAUAUAUAUAUAUAUAUAUACUCUUGAGAUUUCUAGUUGAGAUUUAAGAUUUUCUGAAUUCUUGCAAGAGCAUUGGAAAGCUACAAUCAAUAUGUAACUUGAUUGAUAUUGCCAAAAGUAAUUUGCAUACUUGUGACUUGAUGCAAGGGAUCUGGUAUUUUAGGACGAUCACUUUAUGUACUAAAGCACUUUUACAAUAUAUAUUCAUAUUCUUCUUUUAGUUGUGUAUUUUUUUUUUCCCUUCAAAGCCUCGUUACUAAAAUCGGACGCAGAGUUUUAAAGGAGAGCAAUCAUAUAGUUUCAUUUUGUUUUGUUACCUGUCUUUUUUUGUUUUCCACAUGGUUAAAGGGACACAAUAGUCACCAGAACAAAUAUAGCUUAAUAUAGUUGUUCUGUAGAGUAUAGUCAGUCCCUGCAGGCUUUUUUAAUGUAAACAAUUUUCAGAGAAAAGGCAGUGUUUACAUUACAGCCUAGGAACACCUCUAGUUGCCACUCUUCCGAUGGCCAAUAGAGGUACUUCCUGGGUCAGUGCUGCACAGUAUGCAGCACCUAUGUUCAGCGUCCCUGCACUCGGCAUGGAGAUGCUGAUCUUUCCCCAUAGAGAUGCAUUGAUUCUUUGAGGAGAUGCUGAUUGGCCAGCGGGGUGUUCCCGCACCUCCUCAGUUGAGAUCAUCAGAAUUGAUAAUCUCAGCCAAUCCAAUGCUUUCCUGUAGGAAAGAAUUGUGAUUUGGCUGAGAUAAUCAAUUCUGAUGUCACUCAAGAAGGCAGAUUGGGGGCAGGACCAGAUGCAAGGAGCCCAGUGAGGCACUGGAAAAAGAUGGGUACAUCAGUUUCUAACCUGAGGUGAGAGGGGCCGGUUUGUGUUCCUGACACUAUAGUGCCCCUUUAAAGCUGUCUGUUAUUUCCUAAGUGUGAAUUGUUUUAAAUUUUAAAGUUAAAUUAAAAUGAAUUAUAAAUUUUACUUACUGAAAACACAGCUGGCUUAGAGCUUUAUUUCCAUUUGGCUAUUUUGGGCAAAAAUGUGACACUUACUUUGACUUUGCUUUGAAUUCCUGACAAUUCACACUUUAAUGAAUAGUCCUGUAAAAAGCAGGCUAUAGUCUUUGUUCUGAACAGCCCUGAUAAGGUUACUGGCGGACCUGCUCCACGCUUCAUAUUGGGUGGUGAAAUGGACCAACCUAGUUCAUCUUUCUGUCUCCGGUCAAUCCACUAUGCUAGGGCCUAGGUGGCUGCCUAAAGCCAGUUUAUGGGUAAUCCUGCCCUGAUUCAGAAUGUGUUAUUAUUUACAAAUGUACAUUGUAUCCCUGGGUGUCCUGGCACACACAGAGAAUGCCAUGUAAAUUAAACUCCAUGGUGUCAUAUGUAAGCACGUUUUUAUACUUGCCUCUCCUGCAUCACUCACCCUUUAAUUUCUACAGUUCCCAGUUUUGCUGAGCUGUACGAUACUGUGUCACUACAAACAUGUUGACCUAUAACAAGCUGAUCAUAAGAGGUUACUACAACACAAAGUGCCUUCCUUGCUUUCUAAUCAGAUCCAUGCAUGUGCUCAUACGUAGGAGGAGAGCGACCAGCACAAUUUCAUUCAGCUUGAGGCAUGGCAGAAAGUGAGAACAAAUGGUUUAUUUUAUGAACGAUGGUCAGCUAACACUGGCUUCCAUUGUUCUACUGUUGGUGGGGUGAGCGAUGGUUGGUCAGGAGAUGGGUGUUAUUUCUGCCUCAUGCUGUGAAUUAAAUCACCCAAAAUGAACUGGGGCAGUGAUACAAGUACUGCCCCCACAAGUGAUUCUCUUGGCAUACCGUAUAAUGAAUCAGUAUGGCACCAUUGUCGCCCCAUGGUCACUAGCGCUGUAAAUGUAUACUGUAUAUAUGUGGUAUGUAUUUCAUUAGUAUAGCUUGCAAGUGUUAUGCAUUAGCACAUAGACCUAUAUUUUCUAGAUAGAAGGGUGUUUUAAAAAAAAAAAAAAAGUGUACGUACAUUUGUCUUUUUAUUUCUACUUUAUGCAUGUUUAUAAUGUUUUUAACGUUAUAAAGUUUAAUGAGAAAACAAUAAAGUAAAUUGAAAUUACCUUCACUAGUGAUUUAAUGAGAUCCUUGAGGCUGAUGCUGCGAGACUAAAUAUUUGAUAUCGGGUUCGAUUUUCGUAAGGAACAAACAAAGGUCUCCUCUUUCGGUCAUAUUCAGACGGUUUCUCUGUUUGCUCAUAAUAUGAUUUCUCAUCCGAGCAUCAGCUCCUCUCCAUCCUCAAUGUCCCCCCUCUACUCUGCUCCUUCUUUCUCGUUUUUUAAAAGUAAUCUGCUCCUUCUUUCUCCUAUUCUACAAGUAGUCCACUUCCUGCUAUCGUAUAUCCACCUAACUUCCUCAACCUAUCCCCUUCCUCUACCCACGUGUUACACUUGUUCACGAGCGCACGCGUUUGUACGUGCGUACGCGCGCUAUACAGGCGCACACGAGCGUUCGGGCACACUUUUGCGCUUUCGUGGACUUGCAUCUGCACUUCCUGAUUACCACUGAGUGCACAAAUGAGAGGAAUAGAGCAUUCAUCUCUCUGGAUGGAGGGAGGAUUCUACUACCGCCCACCUGGAAUCCUAAAACGCCCAUUGGUGGGCGGUAGGGACCAGGUUGACAACCCCUAAUUUAGAGCAUGAUAGGAAGAGGGGAGAUGGAAUGAUGGGAGGAAAUGCAAUGUGAUUAUUUUCACUGAGGUUAAAUGUGGUCAGGAAGCAUAUUGCACUGUGUAAGGUCAAGUGAUGUGGUAGUUGGGGUUUUCAGCAUUUUCUUAGAGUACAGUGGAGGUGACAGAGUGGAUGUGACAAGGUAUUUCCUUCUUGUUUAAAGAGCAAAAUUGAAGACCGGAAAGGAGCAAGAGGCAAUAUAGCUAUGGUCUGGGAGAUGAGAGAUAGCAGGCAUAGCAUGGGAAAUGAAUGCCUUUUUUUUUUUUUUUCUCCAAAGCAAAGUAUAAAAUGUUAGCAGUAUAGCAGUAAAUGGACAAUACUACUUAAUUUUCACUGACUAUCCAGAAACGCUUCCACAAAACUACAAUAUAUUUCUUAUAUAUUAUUUGUAGAUUAUCAGUUGUGAAUUGCUUGUUAGUAUUUUUCUUUCUUUUCAUGAAUUCAUGCAACACUCCUAUAUUUACAGUUUGUUACAUUUUUAUUUUAUUUUACAACUGUUUUGAGAUUUUUAUUUUCCUCAAAAAAAAUACAAAUGAAUUUGUCAAAAUUCUUUAAGGGACACUAAGCACCAUAACAACUCCAGUUUACUGUGACUGCCCUGCAGCUUGUAACUUCACCUAGAAGUCCUGUAAAUUAGAAAACCAGGAAUUAUAUUGCCCAACUCUCUUAUCCUCAUAACAGUGAGUUGGUACUUCAGGAUUCAUAAUGUGUUGAUAUGGGAGAGACUUGCUGGCAAGUGGAUUUUAUAGUCGUUUCAAUCACCAGUAAUUCAGAGAUAUUCAAAUGCAGCUUGGUAUAGCAUACAUGUGGUCAAUCGUAGGUUUAAAUAUUUGCAAAUGUAUUUGUGGUUCAAUUCUUCAGGCAUAUAGGUUUUACAUUUUCUCUGGUUAAUUGAGAGAGAGAGGAAAGAAUAUGGUAAAGUGGAGAGACGGAUAAAAGUGCUGAGAAUUCACGACACAUCCAGGGCGUCCUGACUCCAAGAAGUUCUUGUAAAACCACGUCUUUCAUUAUUUUUAAAAAAAUCUUCAGAUUUACAGUAUUGUGGUGAAUUGCAGUUUUUAUUUGUAGGUUUAGUUUCAUUUUUUCCAGUAGCCUCCUCCCACCCCCCCAACAACAUGUGAUAAUUAAAAUUUUUUUUUUUACUUUUGGUAGUUUUUCAUCAAGACAGUAUGAUUGAGUGAUUAGAAGAUUCUUUUGAUGCAGUAAUUACUGCAUUUGGCUUUAUUUUUAGAAUCUCUAGACUACAGCACUGAGUGACUAAACAUGUCUCUUUAGCCUUUUGACUACAUUGCCAAAUCCUUCAGAAAAGGUGACUGACAUAAAGUGAGGUGGUCUAUAAGCAACUACAUACCGGUAAUUGAAACUCCAGUGGUCUGUGACCAAACCAUUACUUUGACAACCUGGUUAUGUCUUUAAAGGAACUGUGCAUUUUAACUAUAGAAAAGAAACGGUCUCUCUAAGAUGAAAGCGUAAUAUAUAGAGGAAUUGAUUAAAAAAAUAAAAAAUAAAAAAAUUAAAAUGUAUAAUAGAUAUACACCCAAAGAUUGCAUGCAUAUUUUAUGGUGUUGUGGUUUUUAUGGUAGUGUGUAUGAUAAAACCGCUUACAGAAGAUGCAGAUCUGCUGGCUGCAGCUUUUGCAAGCCCUUCCCUUUUUCUCUGACACAGACUAAUCAGAGUUCUCAUUGAGUUGUGAGCAUGCACAUGAUCGUGACUUUUCGAUGUGUUACAGUGCUUUAAAAGGAGAAGGUGGUGCUGCCUCCUUCGUUAGCUUUGCGGAGCUAACUGAAGCAAAGAAAUUCCAGCCAGCGAGUCGUUUCUGUGUGUGUAUAUGUAUAUAUGUAUGUAUAUAUGUGUAUACAUAUCCAACACACACAAAGGAUACGGUAAUAUACUAAAGGCCGGGAUGAUGAUUUUGGUUUUUUUAUUUUUUCUGCAUUUAAUAUACUUGGAUAUAUUUAAAAAAAAAAAAAGUACCGUAAAUACAUUUUUGAGCUGGCAGUGGGGUAAUCCCUAAAGAGAGGCUAACCAGAGGGCAGUCCAUUGAAUUUUGCUUGUUCUCCUAAAUUCUGUUGUGGUUUUUUUUUUUUUUAUAUAACAUUUCCAUGUUUCUAUAUGAGUGUCUGAGCUGGCUGUUUUGAUGUUGGGGUGAAUUUGUGACUGCAGUAAAGGUGAAAUCUCUAGCUGUAGCAUUCCAUAGUCUGUGUGGGUAUCCUGUCCUGUAUUGCUGUAUGACUGCACAGCUUUUUACAUGAACAAAGUCACCUUCCAGCUUUUCACAUUGCUGGCUGAUUGCAAUCUCUGAGCUGUGUUCAUAAACAUGGGAGCCAUGAGAUCCAAUGGUUCUAUUGUAUAGGUGUUUAUGCUUAAUUAUAGCAUUUUACAAAUGAAACUAAAUUUAGGCUAUAAUAAUCCAUCUUGGAAAAUUCUUCACUCUGCUUUAGUUGUAGCUUAGCUAUUUUAGCCUCAGUUUUGCUAUUCAGGUUUCCACUUAUAACAAUCUGAGUUUACUGAAUAACCCUUGCAGUGUGGCAGGUGAUAUCUGGUAAACUUCAUGGAAAGAUGUAAACUGUUUGAGUGAGAUAUUUAUAAUGGUAACAUUUUUUUCCAGCGUGAUAUUCCAAUGAUCUAAAGUGUGAUUGCACAAUAUUUAUUUUUCAUUUAAUCUUUGUCAAUAAUUAAAAAAAAAAAAAAAAAAUCCCAUCUUUCCCUCAUCUCAAUCUUGUCUGCUGCACAUUUAGGAGGCGUUUGCAAUGCUGACCAAACGUUUCUAUGCAUUUUUGUCAGCAAAGGGUUAAACUGCCUACUUGCCAGUGGGAAGCGUGCGUCAGUGAAUGAAUGUCUGUCGCUGCCAGUCGUCUGCUUGUUGUUUUCUGACUCUGGUGUCAUUGUAUAGGGGCUACCACCCUCUCAUUGUGGGGUGACCAUCUCCAGACCAGCCUGUAAUUGGUCCCUGUCUUCCCAGGUUACCUUUCACCUACUAGGCAUUAAAUGGGC